rnacentral:lncRNA from 1 species
CACCACUCAGAGGAGCACAGCAGGAUUAGCCCCACACAGGUGAAAAGAAAGUGAAUGGUUCUUUCUGUGAGCAGAUUUUCUUUCUAAAACAAUGCCUCCUGCAGCUAAAGGAGGAAAAGAGGAAACCAACAAUACCAACAGCUAGGGGAAGAGAUAGGUGAGGUCUCUGUUUUCUGAUGAGGAAGCUAAGCCUUGGAAGCCAGGCUUCAAACCUAGCGGGGGCAUAAUGAUCUUUCCAGUGUACAUUUUUGCUUUUGCAAAUUAGAAGAGUUAUUAAGUUUAUGAGUCAGUAUCAUGAAGAUCAAGAUGAUAUCUAAAAGGUUACUGGCAUGCAGUUUCCAUAAUAUUGCUAGAAGACAAGACUGAAUCAUAGCCUCCCAGGAACAGAAGAAACCUCAAAAGUUAUCGAGGCUGUUGUUUGGCAGCAACUGGAGCUACGUCCAAGCUGGUGGGUAUGCAGCGAUGGGCUGGGAACUCAUCUCCUCUUGGAAGUGAAUAUACACAAGAGAAUUGAUAACAGAUAUUCACACAGAAACUUGUACAUAAAUGUUUAUAAGAGCAUUAUGCAAAACAGCCAAAAAGUUGAAACAACCAGCCGGGCGAGGUGGCUCACACCUGUAAUCCCAGCACUUUGGGAAGCCGAGAUACUUCUAAAGCUGCUGUGCUCAUAACUAGGGAAGCAGAAGAGGAGAUCGUCCUCCUGCCCUGGCAACCAGGGAUGAUGGCACGUGCCUAGGCUCAAGCAUGGCAAUUCUCCCAUCCAGAACUUGGAAUCUUCGGGGUAUGUCACAAAGACCCAGGAGCAUCAAGAGUCAGGCAGGGGCAGCAGCCCACGUUCAGCUGGAAUUCUGUGGCUUAACCCAGGGGUUUUCUAUGUGUCAUGAGAGAUAACACAACACUCUCACCAACGAAGUUGAAUAAAUUAUAUUUAGGACUCACAAGCUGGUUCUCACUUCACAGAGCUGAUAGUGUGAGAUCUCAAAGAAACUGCCAUGAGAGUCCUUUUCAUAUUAAGUUAACCAGACUUGAUUUCUGUAGCUUGCAAUCAAGAAUCUUAACUGAUGCCAAAAGAGUGAGGAAUUUUGAAAAACACUGACAUGCCAUUUCAGAUUAAACAAACAGACAUGCAAACAAGCACAGAAGAACUGUGAGCACAGUUCCAAAGCAAUGAGACAGAUUUUCACAAAUGCGUAUUCUUUCUGCAGUGAGGACUACAGCAAAUCUCAGAGGUCACAAUCUGUGGGCUGAAUGAAUUAAGAAUUAGUUGGAGAAAGAGCUGACACUUGAAGAAUGGGGAGGAUUUCACGGGGAGAGGGGUGUGGGGGUAUUGGAGGAAUCAUUCCUAAACAGAGACACCGGGGAAAAGGUGUUCUAGACACACUCUGAGCAACCUGGAAAGAGAAUUGAGGGAAGAGGAAGGUUUAUUUAGGAGGGACGGAGGGGAAGAGGGUGAAAAAGCAGCUUGAGGCCCUAUUGUGUGGACUCGGGGACAGGUUGAGUAAGUGCGGUCUUCCUUCCUCUGUAGGUAGUGGGAACUAUUUGCAGCUUUUUGAGCAGGGGAGGAAUGACGAUCAAAGCUGUAUUUAAGGAAGAAGAAUCUGACAGUGCUGCGUGGGCUUUGCUGGAACUGGGCAGUGAGAAGGCUAGAAAUUGCAUUUGUUCCGGUAAAAGUGAUAAAAAAGAAAUGAUCAGAAGUGGAAAGGUGGGUUAGUGAACCAAUGUUUCCACCUCUGAAGGGCCACGGAGCCAGGGAGGAGGAUUUACUCUUCUCUGUUAAGAAGGAGCUCUGCUGUCCUGACCAAAUGCCAGAAGAUGUGACUUUGCUCAGACCAAGCUACCAAAGACCACUGCCCUUCGUUCCACGAGCCUGGCCCUGUCUACACAGACAGGCAACCCAGGAGCCUGAUCCAGGAGCCGACAGGUAACUCUGGGCCACACAGCACUUGGCAACUGUACGUGCAUAAGGAGUCUCUGUAGAUGAGAGGUUCUAUCGAAAACAGUGUGUUUAGCAGAGAACAGUGUGGAAUUCCAUGCAUGGGUGAUGUCAUCUGCUUUGUUUGGUACCUGCCCAACCAGAUACGAACUGAGGGCCAUGAAAGCUGACUCACCUUCGCAGCAGAAGGUGAGCUGAGAGUCCCUGGCCCUGGCUCCCCAAAGCCUGACUUCAACCAACUCUAUUUCCCUACUGAUGAGAAGCUGAGUGCACCUGUCUCCAGGCCGCCAGGCCUGUGGGUCCUGUCCUAGAGCUCACCUUCCAAGCCCUCAGCCCCAUCUCACACACUCACACACCUGGGAAAGGAAGAAAAAGACAGGAGAGAUAUUCACAUUUUGUUGUAAAACCUUUUAACUAGACUACAUAUAGGUAUUAAAAACCUGGGGCUGGGUGUGAAGGCUCAUGCCUGUAAUCCCAGCACUUCGGGAGGCGGAGGCAGGCAGAUCAUUUGAGGUCAAGGGUUCAAGAACAGCCUGAUCAACAUGGCUCAGACUGAUGAUAGGUUUACUGCAAGAGAUUUUAUGUUUUUUGGAGAUUCACCAAGAUUCCCAGGUAUGGCGCCACUAACUGUUUUCACAGCUCUCCUCUGCUUGCUUUCAGCCGUCAGGCAUCACUGAAGGAUAGAUGGGUGGGUAUGUGCAUGUGCAUGUUAUUUUCAUUUUCGUUACUUGAGCAGCAUUGACAAGCCUCAGUCUUUUGCGGUCCGCAGAUCAUGAUUCUUGGCUAUGCAAACCUGAGGCUGAUGCAUCCUCCAGCAGCUGACCACGGACAUGUGCAGCAUCACAGUGACAGAUGGCAUUUCAACCACUUGGUUUACACCUUCCUCCACUGUCACCACCAUUCUGACAGAAAUGAGUUCCAUUUGCUCCAUUUUACAUAAGGGCAAAAGGCAGCAUUGACUCACCAAGUUUACACAGUUAGGGAAAAGAGCAACCAGGUCAGGAUCAGAUACAACAAAGAAGUGAUUGCAGAUGUUAAAUGGAACAUAGCUCUGGUCGUUUGAUAAAUAUUCAGUAAUUUCUUCAGUUUGUUAAGAAAAAUUAUCCAAAAUUUACAAUUACAGAGGAAGCAAAAUUUUACCUGUACCCUAUUUUUUUUUUUCUGGGGCUAAGAAUUAAAUUGACUUAAGACAGACAUAAGACAGAUCAACAGCAGAAGAACAAAUUUACUUAAUACAAGUUUUACAUGGCAGGAGAGACUACAUAAGGAAAUGCAGACCCAAAGGCACAGUUAGAUUGAACACUUACAUACAGAAUUAAAGAGUCAUGAAUUGUGAAAAUGUCACAAGGCCAAGAAGCUUGGGCUGAGUGGUUAAUUGAGUGAAAAAGUGGCUCGGAAGGUAAGUUUAGUCUAACAAGGUUUGUUUGUACAAAUUUCCCUUGGCCUCAACUUCCUAUCCUUGAUGAUAAGAGUGAUGCUUUCCUUCUGCUAUAGGGAAGGGAUCUUUCACAAGCGAAUUUCAUCUCCUACUUGUAAGAAACAGAAAGUCAGAGUGACCCUCUCACACCUGUUGUUUUUCAGGUGCCCUAAACUCAAAAUAGUCAAUAUGUCAGAGCGGCCUAUUUUGGGGUGGUGUGUAACCCCUGAAAACGUAGAGUUGUCCUCUCAAUGGUAUAUUAAGGCAUCAUUUAAAGGUUAUUUCAUUAUUUAGGAAAGCAGUUUUCAAACUUUGCUUCAUAAUUGGAAACACCUGGGAUGUUCGAAAACUAUGGCUGCCUGGCUCCCACCCCUAGACAUCCUGAUUUAAUGGUGGGGGGUGAUGUGAUAGGCUAAACAAUAACCUCCCAAAGAUGCCCACCACCUAAUCCUUAGACCCUAUGAAUAUGUUCCCUUACAUGUAAGAGACUUUGCAGAUAUGAUUAAGUUAAGGCUCUGUAGAUGGGGAAAAUAUCCUGGAUUAUCUGAAUACGCCCAAGGUCAUCACAAUGGUGAUUACCAAAAGAAGGCUGGAGGGUCAGAGUCAGAGAGAUAAGGCUUAAAGAUGGAGGCAGAGGUCAGAGAAGACCCUGUGCUGUUGCCUCACACGGUGAGGAAGGGGCCACAAGCCAAGAAAUGCAUGCAGCCUUUAGAAGGUAAAAAAGGCAAGGAAUGGAUUCUCCUCUAGAGCCUCUAGAAGGAAGCAGCUCUUUGGACCAAUUUUCAACUCUGACCUCCAGAACUGUAAGAGAAUAAAGCUGGAUUGCAUUAAGCCACGAUGUUUGUGGUAGUUUGUAACAGCAGCAAUAAAAAACUAAUACAUGGUAUCUCCGCCCUAUGAAGGCCUUGAUGGGGAGCAACUCAGGCCUUGAAGGUAAAUGUCCUGUCCCACAGGUGCCAUGAGCUCCGGGAAGUAGAGACGUGAUCAGACUCCCCUGCUACAGCCUUGUACUUGUCACCGAAGGGAGAUGUGCAGGUGCAAGCCCGACCAAGGGACACCUCCGUGGCCAUGACAGCUUUUCUUCUUAAAAGAAAAAACCGGACCGUGGGUUCAGAAAUCCAAAUCCAUUUGUUUAUACUCGAUUCAUACCAAAGACUACAAAAUAUACUUGUUAAUCUAUAUUUAAUAUAGCUACUUAAUACAUUUAGUCAUCUCAUUUUUAAUAUUUUUUAUUAUUCAUUUUAAUCUCUUUUCUUAUUUACUUAACAGCAAGCUUAUCCUUAAAGAUCAUCUCAUUUUUAAAUUUUCAUUCUAUACUUCAGAUAUAGUUUCAAAUUAUCUUUUUUAAUUGAAAAUCGCAAUUUGAGAACUACGGAAAGGUAUCAUUGAACCAGAAACUCCUGAACCUGAGUAUAGCUGAGAAUGCCUGAAUGUAGCUGGGUGUACCUGAGUUUACCUUAGUUUACCUGAGUCAACCUGUGUUCCUGCACAGACCAUAUAAAUUUUCUCCCAGAUAAGAAUGAAGAUGCGGCUAACAGACAUAACCUGUGAGGGGCAGCAGUGUCAGCCCUGGUCUUUCCAUUAGCUGCAAAGGAAGUCUGAAGCAGGCUAGACUGUGCCAGAACGAACCGUUUCAGAAACUGCUCAGGCCUGAGUGUGAAAUGGGCAUCGGAUGUAAACAGAACCAUGACACAGACUUAGGAAUGUUUACUAAAUGGCAUCUCACCCCCGUAAUAGAGAUGGAGGCAGCCUUGAACCCCAAACCUCCCAGGAGGUGGAAAGAUCAGGUAGGAAGGGGAAGGAAGAUACCAAAGUCUUUAGCAAGGUGACUCUUCCGCAUUACAAAUGCAGUUUCAGAAUUCAUAUUCCCGCUGCAAGGGAAAGAGUAGGACGCGGACAGAGAGAUUGUGUGUAUUUCAUCCUGGCUACCUUAGGAAUGGCUUCUGGAACAUGUUUUAUGCUCUAAUGAGUCGUGUUAGGCUUCUCACAUGGCACCAAAUAGAAUUUGUCAGUUUGCUACUGAUGUAUUAGCAAAUUCUGAAUUCGCCCCCACCCCCUCACACUACUGUUUUUAGGACUUUUAUUUUCAGAUGCUUUAGUAAUGAUAAAAGAUGAAACAUGCUUAAUACUAUGAAGAAUCAGUUACAUUAACAAACUCUCACAUCCCUGUGUUUGGAAACGUAACUCAGCAUAGGGGCACAGUCUGUCAGUAAGACCCAGGUUAACCCUCUUUCUCCCUUCCCUUGUUAGCUGCACAAUCAUCUGUUGAAAGCCUCUUGUAGUCUCUGCCUCAGUUCUCCGGUGCUAAAUGGUUGUUCUUCUCAGAAGAACAUAAUAAAAAUUAAGCAAGACAAAAAUAGAACAGUUUCAAUGCGAAAUCAUUUAGUUAGAAAAAUAUACCUAAUUUUUCUGCUUAUAUUUGCAAAGAAAUCCUGCAAUAAAUAUUUUGAAAGGAAUGAAGAUGAGUCCAAUAAAUUUAUAUUUUAUUUUUAUAAUGGACUUUAGAAUAUAGAGGGACUCAGUUAUGUUAGUAAAUGCAAUACUUUGCAAAACACUUUGCAAAUGUGAAGAACUUUAGUCCAACUAUUUAUACGUCAUAUCACUUUUCUAUUGCUGCAUUAAAAAGCUCCAAACCUAGGAACUUGAAAUAACAAACACUUUGUUUCACAUAGUUACUAAGGUUCAAGAAUCUAGGAAUGGGGUGGCUGCAUGGUUCCGGCUCAGGAUGUCUCACUAAGUUGCAGCUGAACUGUCAUCAGCGGCUGUAGUCUCUGAAAACUUAGCUUCUGGGGCUGGAGGCCCCAUUUCCAAGUUCAGUCAUGUAGCUGCUGGCAGGAGGCUUCUGUUCCUUCCUAUGUGGGACGCUCCAUGAAACUGGUCACAACAUGGCUUCCUCCAGAGUGAAACUGAUUACAACAUGGCUUCCCCCACCCCCAGAAUGAAACUGAUCACACAACAUGGCUUCUCCCCAGAAUGAAACUGAUCGUAACAUGGCUUCCCUGAGGGCAAAUAUCUACAUGAGACAAGGAGCAAGUGUGAUGAAAUCAAAAUAUUUUAUAAUCUAAUCUUGGAAGUAACAUCUCAUUACUUCUCUGUAUUCUACUGAUCAAACAGACCAGCAACCCUGAGCCAGUAUGGAUUUCGUCACACUACACAAAGAUAUGAAUCCCAGGGGGCAGGGACCAUCUUGGAGGCUUGGCUACCACAGAAAACAAGUUAAACAGAUGAUCCUUUUUAAAAUCCUUGUCCUGUGGCUUUUAACAUACUCAUAUUAAGAUUAAUAAGCCUAUUUUACUAGUAGGGUCUCCAUUUAGCCAUAGAAUCAGAGCCAUCAACCUGGGACAAAAAGUAAGAUUUUAUCAACUAGUAUAAAAAUAUACUAAACUACUCAACUGAGGCACUAAGGUAUCCAAUAUUGAAAUUCGUUGUGAGACAAGCAUCAAUUUUUCAAAAGAAAUAUCUGAAAAGUGGUUAGACAAGUCUUAGGCUUUGCACCCAAGGGCUAUUCCCACAUACCAGAAGUAUAAAAAGGUCAAGAGAGAGGGAAAUCAGAAAGAAUGUGUGAGGGGAGUUGGUUUGGAAGGGGUAAUUGAUUGCUAUGAGUUCUAUCUAAAGGUGACGAGUGAGAGUAGCUUUAAUUGAAUUGUUUGGAGGGCUUCAAAUGUGUUCUUUGUGGCUGAGGCUGCAGAAUGGAUGGACAUCUGACUCUGUCCAGGAAAUCUGGAAGUUAGGAGAGAUGUGUUGCUGAGCUCAUUGACACUCUGUAAAGAAGAGUCACUGGCUUGAUAAAAUCAUGUCAUUUGCAGCAACAUGGAUGAAACUGGAGGACAUUAUGUCAAAUGAAAUUAGACAAGCACAGAAAGACAAAUAUUGCAUGUUCUCACUCACAUGUAGGAGCUAAAAAAUAUUGAUCUCACGGAGGUAGAGAAUGGAAUCAUAGAUACCAGAGGGCAGAAAGGGUAUGUGGUGGGGAGAAGGGGGUUGGAUAAAAAUAAGCUGGUUAAUCAGUACAAACAUAUAGUUAGAUAGAAGGAAUAGGUUUUAAUGUUUGACAGCAGACUACGGUGACUAUAGUUAACAUGAAUAUAUUGUAUAUUUCAAAAUAAUUGAAAGAGAGGACUUAAAAUGUUCCCAACACAAAGAAAUGAUAAAUAUUCCAGGUGAUGGAUAUUCUAAAUACCUUGAUGUGAUCAUUACACAUUCUAUGCAUGUAACAAAAUAUCACAUGUACCCUGUAAAUAUGUACAAAUAUGAUGUAUCAAUAAAUAAAAAUUUAAAAAUAUAUUUCUUAAAUUAACUUUAUCUGAAAGACAUUCUACAUACUGUACUCAGUCAAUUGGAUGUCAUCAUUUCAUUCCAGGAUCCUCUGCUAAUUCCUGAGUUUACUGAUUGGGAUCUCUGCACUAAUUUGAAAUGAUUUCCUAACAUGCUCCUGCCCGGGAUGAUUGGAAAGGUUAACUACUAUCUGACUGUUAAGCACCCUAUAAAUAAAAACAGCAUGAGUAAUACUAGCUAUAUAGUAGAAGAUUAGUAACUGUGACCUUUUUAGCAUAAAAAAGAUACUUUAUAUUUUAAAUGCCUUUUACCCCAGUGGGAAAUACACAGAGGUGGUGUUGUGGGUUUUUAAAGGGUUGUAAUAGGUAGCAGAGUAAGAGCAUAGUUAUGAUAAAUAAUAGCUGUCAACUGAAGCAUUCAUGUAAAAUUUAUGAUGUAGUCAAGUAACAAUGACCCACUUUUCAUCUCUAUCACAUUCAGCUGGAA